AUGCCAGGAUCACAAGCCGACGAGACUGACUGGGAGAACUUGACGAACAAGGAGCUUCAUGACACGUUUCAGCAAAUGAUGAGUGGACAGGUGCAAGAUGUGAUAAACAGAUUUGAAGAGGCCAUGGAGAAGAUAGAUGGCAUGGAGAAGACGUUUGAAAAAAAGCUCGAUAACAAGUUUGCUGAAUUGCUUUCGCGUUUUCCACCACCACCACCGGCUGCUCCUGCCGCACCUCUGCAACAACAGCAACAACACCGACUACCUCGACGUCGGGAAACAGCCCUCCGCCGAGCGAGCCCUGUCCCUCUUCAGUCGGGCCAAACUGCUGGUGCUGCUGUUGAUACUUCUGUGGCUCCUACUGCUGAUGUGGAGGAGGAUGAUUAUGUGGGAGAUUAUGAGGAUGAGGUUGAUCAAAAUCAGAACUACGUGCCACCACCAGCACAGCAACCACCAGGUCGUCCACAUGCAAAUAAUGGCAAUGGUAGGGCUCACCCUCAGGUACGAGAUCAUGACCAUCUCCCUAAACUAAAAUUGAAUGUUCCACCAUUUGAGGGUAGAUAUGUUCCUGAUAUAUAUCUUACUUGGGAGUUAGAAACUGAACAACGAUUUACAUGUUUACAAUAUCCCAAGGAGAGACGUGUUCCUGCUGCUGUUUGUGCUUUCACUAGUUUUGCAUGUGUUUGGUGGUCUGAGCAUUGUAGAUUAUAUCCUAUUCCGGCUACUUGGGCUGCUUUGAAAACUGCUAUGCGUACUCGUUGGGUUCCACCAUAUUAUCAACGUGAAUUACUUCAAAAAUUGCAGCGCUUAAGACAGGAAAAAAAUUCUGUAGAAGAAUAUUAUCAGGAAUUACAAACUGGCAUGAUUAGAUGUGGUAUUGUUGAGGAGAAUGAAGCUAUGCUUGCACGUUUUAUGGGUGGAUUAAAUAGAGAGAUUCAGACAAUUCUAGAGUAUAAGGAGUAUACUAAUAUCACUCGUUUAUUCCAUCUUGCUUGUAAAGCUGAACGUGAAGUGCAGGAUCGACAGGCAUUGGCGCGGACUAACUUUUCUACAGGUCGACCUUCAUCAUGGACACCACGUGCAUCAUCUACUUCCACACGUUCUACUACACCGGCGCGUCCGUCGGCUGCCACCUCCAACCGUGAUACAAUAAAGCAGGCACAAUCACCACUAUCUGCCAAGAGCACACCUUCUGAGCCUGCAAAGAGCUCUUCUUCAUCCAUGGCAUCAACAGGGCAAACACAUGAUAUUAUUUGUCGAUGUUGCAAGGGUGGAGGUCAUUAUGCGAGAGAAUGCCCAUCUAAGCGUGUGAUGAUUGUUACUGAGGAUGGUGGGUAUGACUUCGCUAGUGACUAUGAUGAGGAGACUUUGGCUCUUAUUACACGUGAUGAACACGGUGGAGACGAUUCUGAUCAUGAGACGCAAUACAUGGCUCCUGAAGAUGCUGACAGGUAUGAAUGUUUAGUUGCUCAAUGUGUUUUGAGUGUGCAGGUUACACAAGCUGAGCAAAAUCAGAGGCAUAAUUUGUUCCAUACAAAGGGAGUUGUGAAGGAACGUUCUGUUCGCGUGAUCAUAGAUGGAGGGAGCUGCAAUAACUUGGCUAUCAUGGAGAUGGUGGAGAAGCUAUCUCUCACCACAAGACCACAUCCACAUCCUUACUACAUCCAAUGGUUCAACAACAGCGGCAAGAUUAAGGUAACACGUACUGUUCGUGUGCAUUUUAGUAUCUCUACAUAUGCUGAUUAUGUUGAUUGUGAUGUGGUACCUAUGCAAGUAUGUUCCUUAUUACUUGGUAGACCAUGGCAAUUUGAUAAAAAAUUUGUACACCAUGGUAGAAACAAUCAGUAUACUCUUGUUCAUAACGAUAAAAAUAUUACUUUGCUUCCUAUGACUCCUGAUUCCAUUUUGAAAGAUGGUAUUAAUAUAGCUAAUAAAGCAAAACAGGAGACAAAUAAGAGUGAAAAUCAGAUUGUGGCAAAAGAAUUUGAGCACCAAAUGAAGCCUAAUAAUAAACCAUCUACUGUUGUUUCUGAAAUUAAAUUGAAAAGUGCAUGUUUACUUGCCACCAAAUCUGAUAUUGAUGAGCUAGAUUUUAGCAAAUCUGUUUGCUAUGCUUUUGUGUGCAAAGAGGCAUUAUUUUCAUUCGAGGACGUGCCUUCCUCUUUGCCCCCUACUGUCACUAACAUUUUGCAGGAUUUUGCUGACGUCUUUCCACAAGACGUGGCACCGGGAUUACCACCUAUUCGAGGGAUUGAGCAUCAAAUUGACUUAAUUCCCGGUGCUUCGCUACCCAACCGUGCACCAUACCGUACCAAUCCAGAGGAGACGAAGGAGAUUAUGCGUCAAGUACAAGAACUGCUCGACAAAGGUUAUAUACGCGAAUCCCUUAGUCCUUGUGCUGUUCCUAUCAUUUUAGUGCCAAAAAAGGAUGGUACGUCACGUAUGUGCGUUGAUUGUAGAGGCAUUAAUAAUAUUACUAUUCGUUAUCGUCAUCCUAUUCCUAGGUUAGAUGAUAUGCUUGAUGAAUUGAGUGGCUCUACAAUAUUCUCCAAAGUUGAUUUGCGUAGUGGAUACCAUCAAAUUCGUAUGAAAUUGGGAGAUGAAUGGAAAACAGCAUUUAAAACUAAGUUUGGAUUAUAUGAGUGGUUAGUCAGGCCUUUUGGGUUAACUAAUGCACCUAGUACUUUCAUGAGGUUAAUGAACGAAGUUUUACGUGCUUUCAUUGGACGAUUUGUGGUAGUUUACUUUGAUGACAUAUUGAUUUAUAGCAAAUCUUUGGAGGAACAUUUGGAACAUUUACGUGCUGUUUUUAUUGCUCUACGUGAUGCACGUUUGUUUGGAAACCUUGGAAAGUGCACCUUUUGCACCGACCGAGUAUCUUUUCUUGGCUAUGUUGUUACUCCACAGGGAAUUGAAGUUGAUAAAGCCAAGAUUGAAGCUAUUGAGAGUUGGUCGCAGCCCAAAACGGUCACACAAGUGAGGAGUUUCCUUGGCCUCGCUGGUUUCUAUAGGCGUUUUGUGAGAAAUUUCAGCACCAUUGCUGCACCUCUCAACGAGCUUACAAAGAAGGAUGUGCCUUUUGUUUGGGGUACCGCACAAGAAGAAGCCUUCACGGUAUUGAAAGAUAAGUUGACACAUGCUCCUUUACUCCAACUUCCUAAUUUCCAUCAGACUUUUGAGCUUGAAUGUGAUGCUAGUGGAAUUGGAUUAGGAGGUGUGUUAUUACAAGAUGGAAAACUUGUUGCAUACUUUUCUGAAAAAUUGAGUGGGCCUAGUCUGAACUAUUCUACUUAUGAUAAAGAAUUAUAUGCUCUUGUUCGGACCUUAGAAACAUGGCAACAUUAUUUAUGGCCCAAGGAAUUUGUUAUACAUUCUGAUCAUGAAUCUUUGAAACACAUUAAAAGUCAAGCAAAACUGAACCGUAGACAUGCUAGAUGGGUUGAAUUCAUUGAGACUUUCCCUUAUGUCAUUAAACACAAGAAGGGUAAAGAAAAUGUUAUUGCUGAUGCCUUGUCUCGUCGUUAUACUAUGCUUUCACAACUUGACUUUAAAAUAUUUGGUUUGGAGACCAUCAAAGAUCAAUAUGUUCAUGAUGCUGAAUUUAAAGAUGUAUUGCAGAAUUGUAAGGAAGGGAGAACUUGGAACAAGUUCGUUCUUAACGAUGGAUUUGUGUUUCGUGCUAACAAGCUAUGCAUUCCAGCUAGCUCCGUUCGUCUUUUGUUGUUGCAGGAGGCGCAUGGAGGAGGGUUAAUGGGACACUUUGGCGUCAAGAAGACGGAGGAUAUACUUGCUACACAUUUCUUUUGGCCAAAGAUGAGACGGGAUGUUGAGCGUUUUGUUGCUCGCUGCACUACAUGUCAAAGAGCUAAGUCACGACUCAAUCCUCAUGGUUUAUAUAUGCCUUUGCCUGUACCUAGUGUUCCUUGGGAGGAUAUAUCUAUGGACUUUGUUUUAGGUUUACCUCGAACAAAGAAGGGGAGGGAUAGCAUAUUUGUUGUCGUGGAUAGGUUCUCGAAAAUGGCACACUUUAUACCAUGUCAUAAAAGCGAUGAUGUUGUUAAUGUUGCUGAUUUGUUCUUUCGUGAAAUUAUUCGCUUACAUGGUGUGCCAAAUACUAUUGUUUCAGAUCGUGAUACUAAAUUUCUUAGCCACUUUUGA
rnacentral:rRNA from 1 species